GAUGAACGCUGGCGGCGUGCCUAAUACAUGCAAGUCGAGCGAACAGACGAGGAGCUUGCUCCUCUGACGUUAGCGGCGGACGGGUGAGUAACACGUGGCUAACCUACCUAUAAGACUGGGAUCACUUCGGGAAACCGGAGCUAAUACCGGAUCAUAUAUUGAACCGCAUGGUUCAAUAGUGAAAGCCGGUUUUGCUGUCACUUAUAGAUGGAUCCGCGCCGCAUUAGCUAGUUGGUAAGGUAACGGCUUACCAAGGCAACGAUGCGUAGCCGACCUGAGAGGGUGAUCGGCCACACUGGAACUGAGACACGGUCCAGACUCCUACGGGAGGCAGCAGUAGGGAAUCUUCCGCAAUGGGCGAAAGCCUGACGGAGCAACGCCGCGUGAGUGAUGAAGGUCUUCGGAUCGUAAAACUCUGUUAUUAGGGAAGAACAAAUGUGUAAGUAACUAUGCACGUCUUGACGGUACCUAAUCAGAAAGCCACGGCUAACUACGUG
rnacentral:rRNA from 1 species